UGUGAGUUCAAGUCAUGUGUCUGCCAUCAUUUGUUUUUUCUUUCCUCUUUGUUAUUUCCUUUUCUUAUUUAUACUUUGUUUCCUUUUUUGUCUCUUGAUUUUUCUCGUUUUUAUUAUCCUUUUAGAAUCGUGCAUAAAAUUUCAUGUGCACUUUUUAGAACGGCACAUAAAUUUCACGUGCAACUUUUAGAAUCGCGCACAAAUUUCACGUCCAAUUAGAAUCGCGGAUAAAAUUUGCCCACAAAUUUUGAUGUCCAAUUAGAUCGCGGAUAAAAUUUCACGUGCAAUUUUUAGAAUCGCGCACAAAAUUUCACGUGCAGUUAGAAUCGCGGAUAAAAGUGCAAUGUUUAGACAUGCACAAAAUUUCGCGUGCCACUUUUUGAAUCGCCCACAAAUUAUGACAUACAAUUAGAAUCGCGGAUAAAAUUUCAUGUGCAAUCUUUAGAAUCGCCCACAAAAUUUCACGUGCAAUUUUUUAAAUCAGGCAUAAAGUUUCAGGUGCAAUUUUUAAAUCGCGCAAAAGUUUCAGGUGUAAUGUUUAAAAUUUGGUAAUCUGAAACCUGUUGUUAUUAAUGAAUUCAACAAAAAAACAAAAAAAAGACUAGGCUACCUAUCAGCAAAGCCAGCACGCAUGGGCACCCACACUCACAGAUGCACAAACACGGGAAUCCACGCACACCCACACACAUGCACACACGGCGCACGCACACACCCACAUACAUGCACAUGCACAUGCACACAGGCACACACACCGGCAGACACCCACAUCGCGCGGCACUAUGCCAG
rnacentral:lncRNA from 1 species